UACGGGGGGAGCAAGCGUUGUUCGGAUUUACUGGGCGUAAAGGGCGCGUAGGCGGUCAGCACAAGUCAGUUGUGAAAUCUCCGGGCUUAACCCGGAAAGGUCAACUGAUACUGUGCGACUAGAGUGCGGAAGGGGCAACUGGAAUUCUCGGUGUAGCGGUGAAAUGCGUAGAUAUCGAGAGGAACACCUGCGGCGAAGGCGGGUUGCUGGGCCGACACUGACGCUGAUGCGCGAAAAGCGUGGGGAGCGAUCCGG
rnacentral:rRNA from 1 species